GUGGGGAAUUUUGGACAAUGGGCGCAAGCCUGAUCCAGCAAUGCCGCGUGUGUGAAGUAGGCCUUCGGGUUGUAAAGCACUUUUGGCAGGAAAGAAAUAGUGCGUGCUAAUACCAUGCGCGAAUGACGGUACCUGCAGAAUAAGCACCGGCUAACUACGUGCCAGCAGCCGCGGUAAGACGUAGGGUGCAAGCGUUAAUCGGAAUUACUGGGCGUAAAGCGUGCGCAGGCGGUUUUGUAAGACAGGUGUGAAAUCCCCGGGCUCAACCUGGGAACUGCACUUGUGACUGCAAGGCUAGAGUGUGUCAGAGGGAGGUGGAAUUCCGCGUGUAGCAGUGAAAUGCGUAGAGAUGCGGAGGAACACCGAUGGCGAAGGCAGCCUCCUGGGAUAACACUGACGCUCAGGCACGAAAGCGUGGGGAGCAAACAGGAUUAGAUACCCGUGUAGUCC
rnacentral:rRNA from 1 species